CCGGCCUCUCCCGCCUGCGCCGCUCUCUGCGCUCUGCCGGGCGGGGGCCGACGGCGGCUCCGCCUCGCGCGCUUCCCAGGAGCGGCUUCCCCGGCCGGCGGGGCUCUGGCGCUGGCGGCGUGUUGCCUUUCCUCCGCCCUCCCCACCCGGCUGAUACCCGGAGACUGGGUCCCGGGGGUCCGGCUCCGGACAGAGGGCUGCUCUGGAGGCGCCGGGCACACCCAGGCAGGCCGGGCGGCGAGGAGUGCGGGCUGCGCUCCCACAGCGCGCGCCGGGCCCUUGGGGAGCGGAAAGGAUCAGCGAGAGCCGCUUCUUGCCCCGGGGCACCGCCAGUGCCUGGCACUCAGCGGGCGCGCAAUAAAUAUUUGUUGAAUGAAUGAGCAGUUGACCGCUGCCUUCAUCCCCUCCGGAAGCCAGACUCGGAGUAGACUGGAUCUCCCGAGACCACCGUUUAGAGCCUGGAAAGCAGAACGUUUAUCAGCCAGAGAACGAGUGCGAGGGAGGCGUUCUCCUCAGAAGUAUCGGGCCGUUUCCUAGGGGAUCCUCUGCAGGGAAGUUGUUUAGAAAGCCCUAAUUUGGAAGUCCUGUAUCAACAAACUCCGGGGACCACCCCCUCAACCCCAAGCUGAGGAAAUUUAGACCUCAUGCCCAGGGGAAAGUUCACCCCGAGACCUCCCUCUCCCAACCAGCCAGCAGCCCAGAGAGCAUCCCCGUCUGUUUUCCGUCACCGACUGCCUUUUCCUGAGGAAGAUCCCAAGGCUGGGGCUGCGGAUUUGAACUGUCUUGGGCUCCAGGUGGCGCCCUCUCUGGAGCUCCCCUCUAUGAAUUCACUGUUUCCUGGAGAAUGAAAAUCCAGGGUUUGUUCCACUACCUUGUUUAGAAGUAACAUUGCAACUGGAGUCAAUGACCAACUUAAUUACAUUCGUCAUCGAAGAAGAUGCCUCUAGAGAGAAAUUAUAUCCUCCUUGCAGUCUGCGAAGGUUUUCAAGCGUUUUUGGAACAUGCAAGAAAGGAAAACAAACGUAGUAAAGACAGGACUCACUUCUUUACACCUUCUUCAGCAACUUCUCCAUGUGGCCCCUUAAGAGAUAAAGCACUCUGCACUGGAUUAUAUGACCUGCCUGUUGUGGAUUCAGAGCUUCUCAAAGAUUUGCCGUGGACAGCACUUGAUUAAAUCCAGCUGUAAGUAGUUAAAAACCUAGGUUGCUGAGUUUCAAUCUGAAUGCAAGAACCACAGCCCAAUCACCUAGUACAGCUUAGGUUGGCAUCCAAAGCUGUGCAAUUGAUUGAUUGAUUGUGCGGCCAGCAUCCUACCUCUUGCCUGGAAAACCCUGCUUCAUAUGGGUGUGUGUGUGUGUUUGUGUGUUGUUGUAAUUUUAUUCCUUUUGAAAAAUUGUCGAAGCCAGUCGUGGUGGCUCAUGCCUGUAAUCCCAGCACUUUGGGAGGGUGAGGCAGGAGGAUCGCUUGAGUCUUGGAGUUCAAGGCCAGCCUCAGCAACAUGAUGAAACCACAUCUUUACAAAAACAUCCAAACUAGCAGGGCAUGGUCUUGCACCCCUGUAGUCUCAGCUACUCAGGGGGGCUGAGGCAGGAGGAUCUCUUAAUCCCAGAGGAUUGAGGCUGCAGUGAGCCAAGAUUGUGCCAGUGCACUCCAGCCUGGAUGACAGAGCGAGACCCUGCCUCUAAAUAAAUAAAUAAAAACUGGCAAAACCAUAACAUCAUAACCAUUUUUAAGUAUACAGUUAAGUAGUGUUUAGUAUAUUCACGUGUUUGUAUAACAUCUCUAGAACUUUUUCGUCUUACGCAACAGAAACUCUAUACUCAUUAAACCUCAUUCUUCCUCCCUGUUUCCACAGCCCUCUUCAAUCAUUGUUUAACUUUCUGUUUAUAUAAUUUUGACUACUCUAGAUAAGUCAUAUGAGUAAAAGCAUAUGAGAUUUGUCCUUUUGUGACCAGCUUAUUCUCUUGGGCAUAAUGUCCUUGAGGUUCAUCUAUGUUGUAGCAUGCGACAUGAUUCUCUUCCUUUUUAAGGAUGCAUAAUAUACCAUUGUAUGGAUAUACCACAUUUUGUUUAUCCAUUUGUCUGUUGAUGGACAUUUGUGUUGCUCCCACCUCUUGGUUAUUGUGAAUAAUAUUGAGAUGAACAUGGGUGUGUUGCUUUUACUAUGGAAAUCAAAACUACCAUAGUAAUGGGGAGUCUAGUAAUCUAGGGAGGGAGAAUGUAUGAAAACUGAGGCAGAAAGUUGGUGCUGGGCAGUAGCAGGCUAAGUAUCUCAGGAAGCCGCUUGUGUGGGAGAAUUCUUGGCUUACGUUGUCUGAACACUCGUACAUCUUAUUUAGGAAAAGCAGUUUGACUUUCUGCAUGACCUCUGGUUUAUAGAAAGGCAAUGUCUUAAUCUGUUCCUGCUGCUGUAACAGUACCUUAGGCGUGUUGUGGUGGCUCACACCUAUAAUCCUAGGUGACUGAGGCAAGAGGCUGAGACAGGAGGUUUGCUUGAGCCCAGGAGUUCGAGACCAGCCUGGGCAACAUAGUGAGAUCCUGUCUCUACCAAAAAUACAAAAGAAUUAGCUGGCUGUGGUGGCAUGCACCUGUAGUCCCAGCUACUCAGAAGGUUGAGGUGGAAGGGUUGCUUGAGCCCAGGAGGUCGAGGCUGCAGUGAGCCAUGAUCACAACUCUAUACUUCAGUCUGGACAACAGAGUGAGGCUCUGUCUCAAUAAACAAACAAACAAACAAACAGAAAAACAAAGUACCUUAAACUGGGUAAUCGCUCAUAUAAACAAUAGAAAUAUAUUGCAGUCAGGCAUGGUAGCUCACGCCUGUAAUUCCAGCACUCUGGGAGGCCGAGGUAGGUGGAUCACCUGAGGUCAGGAGUUUGAGAACAGCCUGGCCAAUAUGGUGAAACGCUGUCUCCACUAAAAAUACAAAAAUGAACUGGGUGUGGUGGUGUGUGCCUGUAAUCCCAGCUACUCAAGAGGCUGAGGCAGGAGAAUUGCUUGAACCCUGGAGGCAGAGGUUGCAGUGAGCCAAGAUUGUGCCAUUAUCCUCCAUCAUGGGCGACAAGAGUGAGACCCUGUCUCCAAAAAAGAAAAAAAAAAGAGAAAUGUAUUGCUCACAGGUCUGGGAGUUGGGACAGGGGAGCUCAGGCUUCUGCAGGCUCAGUGUCUGGUAGUGCUUGCUCUCUUCUUCAAAAAUGAUGCCUUCUUGCUGCAAGCAUCCUCCCGUGGCAGAAAGGCCCAGGGAACAUCCUCAAGCCUCUUAUUUAUUUAUUUAUUUAUUUUCCUUCAUUUUGUUUUUAUUAUAGCAUGUUUGCUUAAUUUACAGCAAGCAGAAAAUAAGCUGGGUCUUGUUUUGAUCCAAACAUUGAUGUUUUAAAGGUUGUACACAAUGUUUGUUAAAAAGAACAUAUAAAAAUAUGUUUUUAGAAGCCUCUAUAAGAAAGAAAAUACAAAGUUUAACCCCACAACUUUCCUCUUUUCUAGAACUGCAAACUACUGCUACAGUUUUAUAUAGACUUUUUGUUGUUUAAACUAUACA